GGUGCUUGCAUCAUGAUUUACAUUUGAGUGAGUGGCGAACUGGUGAGUAACACGUGGGAAACCUGCCCAGAAGCGGGGGAUAACACCUGGAAACAGAUGCUAAUACCGCAUAACAACUUGGACCGCAUGGUCCGAGUUUGAAAGAUGGCUUCGGCUAUCACUUUUGGAUGGUCCCGCGGCGUAUUAGCUAGAUGGUGGGGUAACGGCUCACCAUGGCAAUGAUACGUAGCCGACCUGAGAGGGUAAUCGGCCACAUUGGGACUGAGACACGGCCCAAACUCCUACGGGAGGCAGCAGUAGGGAAUCUUCCACAAUGGACGAAAGUCUGAUGGAGCAACGCCGCGUGAGUGAAGAAGGGUUUCGGCUCGUAAAACUCUGUUGUUAAAGAAGAACAUAUCUGAGAGUAACUGUUCAGGUAUUGACGGUAUUUAACCAGAAAGCCACGGCUAACUACGUGCCAGCAGCCGCGGUAAUACGUAGGUGGCAAGCGUUGUCCGGAUUUAUUGGGCGUAAAGCGAGCGCAGGCGGUUUUUUAAGUCUGAUGUGAAAGCCUUCGGCUCAACCGAAGAAGUGCAUCGGAAACUGGGAAACUUGAGUGCAGAAGAGGACAGUGGAACUCCAUGUGUAGCGGUGAAAUGCGUAGAUAUAUGGAAGAACACCAGUGGCGAAGGCGGCUGUCUGGUCUGUAACUGACGCUGAGGCUCGAAAGUAUGGGUAGCAAACAGGAUUAGAUACCCUGGUAGUCCAUACCGUAAACGAUGAAUGCUAAGUGUUGGAGGGUUUCCGCCCUUCAGUGCUGCAGCUAACGCAUUAAGCAUUCCGCCUGGGGAGUACGGCCGCAAGGCUGAAACUCAAAGGAAUUGACGGGGGCCCGCACAAGCGGUGGAGCAUGUGGUUUAAUUCGAAGCUACGCGAAGAACCUUACCAGGUCUUGACAUACUAUGCAAAUCUAAGAAGAUUAGACGUUCCCUUCGGGGACAUGGAUACAGGUGGGUGCAUG
rnacentral:rRNA from 1 species